rnacentral:rRNA from 1 species
GUAGGUGGCAAGCGUUGUCCGGAAUUAUUGGGCGUAAAGCGCGCGCAGGCGGUUCUUUAAGUCUGAUGUGAAAGCCCACGGCUCAACCGUGGAGGGUCAUUGGAAACUGGAGAACUUGAGUACAGAAGAGGAAAGCGGAAUUCCACGUGUAGCGGUGAAAUGCGUAGAGAUGUGGAGGAACACCAGUGGCGAAGGCGGCUUUCUGGUCUGUAACUGACGCUGAGGCGCGAAAGCGUGGGGGAGCAAACAGGAUUAGAUACCCUGGUAGUCCACGCCGUAAACGAUGAGUGCUAAGUGUUAGGGGGUUUCCGCCCCUUAGUGCUGCAGCUAACGCAUUAAGCACUCCCGCCUGGGAGUACGGCCACAAGGCUG